CCUACGGGGGUCUGCAGUGGGGAUUAUUGCACAAUGGGGGAAACCCUGAUGCAGCGACGCCGCGUGAGUGAAGAAGUAAUUCGUUAUGUACAGCUCUAUCAGCAGGGAAGAAAAUGACGGUACCUGAGUACGAAGCCCCUGCUAACUACGUGCCCGCAGCCGCGGUAAUACGUAGGGGACCAGCGGUCUCCGGAUUUACUGGGGGUAAAGGGAGCGUAGACGGCAGUGCAAGUCUCUAGUGAAAGGCGGGGGCCCAACCCCCGGACUGCUCUGGAAACUGUACGGCUGGAGUGCAGGAGAGGUAAGUGGAAUUCCUAGUGUAGCGGUGAAAUGCGUAGAUAUUAGGAGGAACACCAGUGGCGAAGGCGGCUUACUGGACUGUAACGGACGUUGAGGCUCGAAAGCGUGGGGAGCAAACAGGAUUAGAUACCCCUGUAGUC
rnacentral:rRNA from 1 species